UACGAAGGGGGCUAGCGUUGCUCGGAAUCACUGGGCGUAAAGGGUGCGUAGGCGGGUUUUUAAGUCAGAGGUGAAAUCCUGGAGCUCAACUCCAGAACUGCCUUUGAUACUGAGAAUCUUGAGUUCGGGAGAGGUGAGUGGAACUGCGAGUGUAGAGGUGAAAUUCGUAGAUAUUCGCAAGAACACCAAUUGCGAAGGCAGCUCGCUGGGACGUUACUGACGCUGAUGCGCGAAAGCGUGGGGAGCAAACAGG
rnacentral:rRNA from 1 species